AAAAAAACACAGAGAAAUAGCAAUUGCGACCAAGAAAUAGUAGCAGAAUUAGUUCAAAAAUGGAGAGGUGAAACCACAGACAGGUUCUUCUUGAGAAUUAAGGACAGAAGUGGUGAUCCUGAAGACUGUGAUGUUGAUAUUGGUGGUCUUGAAAACCUUGAUGAUGAUGAAGAAGUUGAUGACGACGUGUUGCUGAGACGUGAUGUUGUGAAGCAGCUGUAUGGCAAGGAGAAGAGGUUCCUGUAUGUCCACCAGACAGAGUGGCAAUCCAGACUUCUCCUUAGAUAUGGCCAGGAAAUAUCCCGUCUUGAUGCCACAUAUCGGACCACACGCUAUUCUCUUCCUCUGUAUUUUCUCUGUGUACCAACAAAUAUUGGUUGCAUUACUGAGACAGA